UUUGUUUUUUUCUUCUGUAUUUAUUGUAUAGAUAUUUUUUUAAUUUUUUGUUUUCUUUCUUUAUGUCGGUUUAUAUAAGGAUGUUUUGAUCUUUAAUGAGGUUAUGUCAGUGAUAUUUUUUUAUAAGAAUUUCAGAUCAUACAAAUCUUUCAUUCUCAGUUUCGUAUUCCUUCCAAGUUCUCUCUCUAAACUCAGACCCAUCUUCUAUUCUCUCUCUAUCUCGCGACUCUCGAUUUAUUUUCAUCUUGCUGAAACCUAAAGCACCAAAACUGUGAAAUUUUAGAAUUUUUGAGAUUUGCUUGGUCGGCUGCUAAUGGGAGGGGUAGAGAUAGGCUUCUGGAGAGAUUUCAGAGAAAAAGUCAUAGGCAGGUCAAUCUUAUCUCUCCGAUCCCCAAACCAAAGGCUGAGGAAGAGAAGAAGCCUCAGGAGAAAGAGACUCCAAGCCUGAAGAGAAGAAAGAAGAGUGCCGUCUAAUUCAAGCACGAAUUUGGACAAGGUGAAGAGCGAUGAAAAGAAAUGAAAUUUAAGAGAUAGGUACCACUUAAUUUUGUUGUUAAGCGAAAGCUACCACACGAAUCAUAGACGUGAGGGACUCGAAGUUGGGAUCAGGUUGAUCAUCCAAGUGGUGCUUGCUGUCUUCACAUACGUUCACUGUUGUUAGGAUGCGAAGGAUAAGAUGCCUCUCUUCCUCUUCCAAACGGAAUUUUGGCAGAUUCGACACAUGCAGCUACAAAGCUUGGCUAGCUCAAGACUCAGACGACCAAAAAUUUGAUGGAACUGCAUGCUUGUUGGUUGAAAAAGUAGGAAAAAAAAAACAAAAUUUAACUCUAAAGCAAAGUGACGAUGAAAUGGUCAAGUCAAAGAUUAGUCAUCAUUUAAUACUCUUCAUAAAAUUAGUGAUAUAUAAUCUUUGUGGUAACUAUUUACGAUUAAUACUCUUGACAGAAGGCUAGGUAACGACGCCGAGAUCAGCCAGGGGCUGAGCGUGGAGAAAGGAUCCAUUUACUUGGUCACCUUCAGCGCCACCCACAUCUACAUGAAGUUGGAGUCGCUGAAUGUGUCGGUGCCGCCGGCGUCGCAGACGAUAGACUUGCAAAUACUAUACAACGUGCAGGGGUGGGGCCCGUACGCCUACGCGUUCGAGGCGGAAAGUGUGGAGACAAAAGUCUAAAAAGUCGAGACAAAAGAGAUGGUGACAUUGGAGAGUGUGGAGACUUUUAGUGAGAGAGUAGUUAGAUUUGGUGAGAAAAUGGAUGAGGUUGUCGGGUUAGAAUUAGAUUUUAUUAACAGUACUCCAUCAGUUAAUUUAAUGCAAUACAUGAUGGGAUAUUUGAAUGAAAACAUCAUGCGGGAGACAUCAUUAAUUAAUUAGUAAUUACAUCAAUGUAUGCACCCCACCAUAAACUAUUUUAUAUGUUAGCAAUUUAUAUUAAAGGGAAUAUAAAUCAAAA